UCAGUCAACAUGUUUUGUGCUGCUCUGUUCUUGCUCCUUGCAGCUGCAGGAGUGAAGUGUGAACAGCUGACACAGCCGGCUUCUGUGACUCUGCAGCCAGGUCAGACCCUCACCAUCAGCUGUCAGGUCUCUUAUUCUGUUAGAAGCUACUACACACACUGGAUCAGACAGGCUGCAGGAAAAGGACUGGAGUGGAUUGGAAGAGCAGCUGAUGGAUCAACAACAAACUACAAAGAUUCUCUCAGGAACAAAUUCAGCCUUUCUGCUCACUCCUCCAGUAACAUUGUGACUUUAAAUGGACAGAAUAUGCAGCCUGAAGACUCUGCUGUUUAUUACUGCGCAAGACAGUCACAGUGACACAAACAUACAGCACAGCCGUACAAAAAAUCCUUUGAGCCUGAGUACAUGUAUUUUUACUUCUCGCCCA